rnacentral:rRNA from 1 species
UACGUAGGGGGCAAGCGUUGUCCGGAAUCAUUGGGCGUAAAGAGCGUGUAGGCGGCUCGGUAAGUCUGCUGUGAAAGUCCAGGGCUCAACCCUGGAAUGCCGGUGGAAACUGUCGAGCUAGAGUCCGGAAGAGGCGAGUGGAAUUCCUGGUGUAGCGGUGAAAUGCGCAGAUAUCAGGAGGAACACCGAUGGCGAAGGCAGCUCGCUGGGACGGUACUGACGCUGAGAAGCGAAAGCGUGGGGAGCAAACAGG